CCUACGGGGGGCAGCAGUGGGGAAUAUUGGACAAUGGGGGGAACCCUGAUCCAGCCAUGCCGCGUGUGUGAAGAAGGCCCUCGGGUUGUAAAGCACUUUCAGUGAGGAAGAACGCCUGGUGGUUAAUACCCAUCAGGAAAGACAUCACUCACAGAAGAAGCACCGGCUAACUCCGUGCCAGCAGCCGCGGUAAUACGGAGGGUGCGAGCGUUAAUCGGAAUUACUGGGCGUAAAGCGCGCGUAGGUGGCUUGAUAAGCCGGUUGUGAAAGCCCCGGGCUCAACCUGGGAACGGCAUCCGGAACUGUCAAGCUAGAGUGCAGGAGAGGAAGGUAGAAUUCCCGGUGUAGCGGUGAAAUGCGUAGAGAUCGGGAGGAAUACCAGUGUCGAAGGCGGCCUUCUGGACUGACACUGACACUGAGGUGCGAAAGCGUGGGUAGCAAACAGGAUUAGAUACCCUAGUAGUC
rnacentral:rRNA from 1 species